UAGAUAGUUUUGCGGACGGUAUCUGCGUCAAUAUUUCCUUGUUAGAAUAUAUUGCACAUUCACCGGCCUGAAAAUAUCAA
rnacentral:pre_miRNA from 1 species